UACAGAGGGCGCGAGCGUUGUCCGGAAUCACUGGGCGUAAAGGGCGCGUAGGCGGUUCGGUAAGUCCUGUGUGGAAUCCCUCGGCUCAACUGAGGAACUGCACGGGAGACUGCCGGGCUUGAGUUCGGGAGAGGGAAGCGGAAUUCCGGGUGUAGCGGUGAAAUGCGUAGAUAUCCGGAGGAACACCGGUGGCGAAGGCGGCUUCCUGGACCGACACUGACGCUGAGGCGCGAAAGCUAGGGGAGCAAACGGG
rnacentral:rRNA from 1 species